CCAGAAGGCAAGCAAAUGGAAAUGACUGGGGCUGACCGUCCGUUCAAUUAGGAUAACCAAUCUACAUACAUACUCUUCCGCUUACCAUUAUAUAUGGUUGAUUCGCAUAAACGAACAUAGCAGCGCCAACAAACGUUAGCUACUUUCGGGUUACUAAUUCUUUGGAUUUAUUUGCCCAAUGAUUUUGACCAGGCGUCAGCUCACCGGGAUAUGAAUAGUUUCACAAGAUUGCAGAGCAGUGGGAGAAGUCAUGUGUGACAUCAGACCUCAACACUGACUAGGAGCAAGAAUGCCAAAGAGGCGGACAGCAUAUCAACCUCAGGAGGAGGAAGAUCAUCUUCCUUCCAACACAUCUCAACCUCUCCACUAAAAAGCCAUCCAGAUCCAAGUUCCAGGCCAGACCAGACCAGCAUCUGAAAGGAAUUAACUUAAAUAGACAUGGUGAUUAACCUACCAAAACACAGG
ensembl:lncRNA